rnacentral:rRNA from 1 species
GAUGAACGCUGGCGGCGUGCCUAAUACAUGCAAGUCGAGCGAACGGACGAGAAGCUUGCUUCUCUGAUGUUAGCGGCGGACGGGUGAGUAACACGUGGAUAACCUACCUAUAAGACUGAGAUAACUUCGGGAAACCGGCGCUAAUACCGGAUGAUAUUUUGAACCGCAUGGUUCAAAAGUGAAAGACGGUCUUGCUGUCACUUAUAGAUGGAUCCGCGCUGCUUUAGCUAGUUGGUAAGGUAACGGCGUACCAAGGCAACGAUGCAUAGCCGACCUGACAGGGUGAUCGGCCACACUGGAACUGAGACACGGUCCAGACUCCUACGGGAGGCAGCAGUAGGGAAUCUUCCGCAAUGGGCGAAAGCCUGACGGAGCAACGCCGCGUGAGUGAUGAAGGUCUUCGGAUCGUAAAACUCUGUUAUUAGGGAAGAACAUAUGUGUAAGUAACUGUGCACAUCUUGACGGUACCUAAGCAGAAAGCCACGGCCAACUACGU